CUGAGACAUUUCCACUGCAUGGAGCAGAGAUGUCUGCGUUGUCUGCAGUACGUGGGCUCAUUCAGUCCCUGACAUGCUUGAUGCAGUACAGAAGUGUCUUCAUGUGCUCCAGUGAUGUAGAUGUUUCUUAGGCACGUCCUGAUAUCCAGACUCAUGAG